GCCUUCCUAGUGUAGUUGUCAGCAGGCUCGACUCGAAUUCGAGAGGUCCUUGGUUCGAGUCCUGGCGAAGGCA